GAUUAGUGGCGAACGGGUGAGUAACACGUGAGUAACCUGCCCUUGACUCUGGGAUAAGCACUGGAAACGGUGUCUAAUACCGGAUACRAGAUUCCACCGCAUGGKGAGGGUCUGGAAAGAAUUUUGGUCAAGGAUGGACUCGCGGCCUAUCAGCUAGUUGGUGAGGUAACGGCCCACCAAGGCGACRACGGGUAGCCGGCCUGAGAGGGUGACCGGCCACACUGGGACUGAGACACGGCCCAGACUCCUACGGGAGGCAGCAGKGGGGAAUAUUGCACAAUGGGCGAAAGCCUGAUGCAGCAACGCCGCGUGAGGGACGACGGCCUUCGGGUUGUAAACCUCUUUUAGUAGGGAARAAGCGAAAGUGACGGUACCUGCARAAAAAGCACCGGCUAACUACGUGCCAGCAGCCGCGGUAAUACGUAGGGUGCAAGCGUUGUCCGGAAUUAUUGGGCGUAAAGAGCUCGUAGGCGGUUUGUCGCGUCUGCUGUGAAAACCCGAGGCUCAACCUCGGGCCUGCAGUGGGUACGGGCAGACUAGAGUGCGGUAGGGGAGAUUGGAAUUCCUGGUGUAGCGGUGGAAUGCGCAGAUAUCAGGAGGAACACCGAUGGCGAAGGCAGAUCUCUGGGCCGUAACUGACGCUGAGGAGCGAAAGCAUGGGGAGCGAACAGGAUUAGAUACCCUGGUAGUCCAUGCCGUAAACGUUGGGAACUAGAUGUAGGGGCCAUUCCACGGUUUCUGUGUCGCAGCUAACGCAUUAAGUUCCCCGCCUGGGGAGUACGGCCGCAAGGCUAAAACUCAAAGGAAUUGACGGGGGCCCGCACAAGCGGCGGAGCAUGCGGAUUAAUUCGAUGCAACGCGAAGAACCUUACCAAGACUUGACAUAUACGAGAACGGGCCAGAAAUGGUCAACUCUUUGGACACUCGUAAACAGGUGGUGCAUGGUUGUCGUCAGCUCGUGUCGUGAGAUGUUGGGUUAAGUCCCGCAACGAGCGCAACCCUCGUUCUAUGUUGCCAGCACGUUAUGGUGGGAACUCAUAGGAGACUGCCGGGGUCAACUCGGAGGAAGGUGGGGAUGACGUCAAAUCAUCAUGCCCCUUAUGUCUUGGGCUUCACGCAUGCUACAAUGGCCGAUACAAAGGGCUGCGAUACCGCAAGGUGGAGCGAAUCCCAAAAAGUCGGUCUCAGUUCGGAUUGAGGUCUGCAACUCGACCUCAUGAAGUCGGAGUCGCUAGUAAUCGCAGAUCAGCAACGCUGCGGUGAAUACGUUCCCGGGCCUUGUACACACCGCCCGUCAAGUCAUGAAAGUCGGUAACACCCGAAGCCAGUGGCCUAACCGC
rnacentral:rRNA from 1 species